rnacentral:rRNA from 1 species
GGUCAAGAUACGAAGGGCACGCGGUGGAUGCCUAGGCGAUGAGAGGCGAAGAAGGACGUGGACAGCUGCGAUAAGCCAUGGGGAGCCGCUAACAGGCUUUGAUCCGUGGAUCUCCGAAUGGGGCAACCCACCCGCGCGAGAGCGCGAGGUACCUCCAGACUGAAUACAUAGGUUUGGAGGAGCGAACCCGGGGAAGUGAAACAUCUCAGUACCCGGUGGAAGAGAAAACAACAGUGAUUCUCCUAGUAGCGGCGAGCGAACGGGGACGAUGGCCAAACCCGAAGUAGCGAUACUCCGGGGGUUGUAGGGCCGGCGAUGUGGCACACUGACGACGAGACGAACGACUUGGAACGGUCGGUCAUAGAGGGUGACAACCCCGUAGUCGAAGUCGAAGGUGGCCUAGCUGGUACCUGAGUACCGCAAGACACGUGCAAUCUGGCGGGAACCUGGCGGGACCAUCCGCUAAGCCUGAAUACUCCUCAUCGACCGAUAGUGAACAAGUACCGUGAGGGAAAGGUGAAAAGCACCCCGGAAGGGGAGUGAAAUAGAACCUGAAACCGCGAUUGCCUACAAGCACUGGGAGCACGAUGUCUUCGGACCGUGUGACCGGGUACCUUUUGCAUAAUGGGCCUGCGAGUUACGUUUCGUGGCAAGGUUAAGCCGACGAGGUGGAGCCGAAGCGAAAGCGAGUUCGAAUAGAGCAGAAGUCGCGGGACGUAGACCCGAAGCCCGACGAUCUAUCCAUGGCCAGGUUGAAACGCGGGUAACACUGCAUGGAGGACCGAACCCACCGCAGUUGAAAAUGCGGGGGAUGAGCUGUGGAUCGGAGUGAAAGGCUAAUCAAGUCGGGGUAUAGCUGGUUCUCCCCGAAAUAUAUUGAGGUAUAGCCUCGGAUGAAUCCCUGCGGGGGUAGAGCACUGGAUGGGCUAGGGGACUUACCGGUCUACCAAACCCAACCAAACUCCGAAUACCGCAGAGGACUGUCCGGGAGUCAGGCAGCGGGAGAUAAGUUCCGUUGCCGAGAGGGAAAGAGCCCAGAUCGCCGGUUAAGGCCCCAAAUUCCACGCUUAGUGUUAAAGGAUGUGGGGGCGCACUGACAGCCAGGAGGUUGGCUUAGAAGCAGCCACCCUUUAAAGAAAGCGUAAUAGCUCACUGGUCAAGCGAACCCGCGCCGAAAAUAUAACGGGGCUCAAGCGUGGAGCCGAAGCCGCGAGAGUGGAAACACUCGGUAGGGGAGUAUUCUGUGGCAGAUACAUGGUGUACCGACAAGGAGCACUUCAGGGCCACAGAAGAGCUUAUGCAGGCAUGAGUAGCGAUAAACCGGGUCAAAAACCCGGUCGCCGUAAGCCCAAGGUUUCCUGGGGAAGGAUAAGCCUCCCAUGGGUUAGUCGGGUCCUAAGCCGAGGCCGGAAGGCGUAGGUGAUGGCAAGCUGGUUAAUAUUCCAGCACCGUGACGGUGUUUUAGCAGAGCGGGGACGGAGAAGGAUAGGCUCAUCCGGGAGUUGGUUUUCCUGGUCCAAGCCCGUAGGCGGUUCCCAUAGGACGCGACAGCGACAAACGUGGGGGCAACGCCGAGAGGUGAUGGGGCGCGACCUUCGGGUCGUGAACUGAGUGAUUCCAUGCUUCCGAGAAAAGCCGCGCUGUGUGGCACUGACACGCCCGUACCGCAAACCGACUCAGGUGGGCGGGAAGAGUAUUCCAAGGCGCGUGAGAGAACCCUGGUUAAGGAACUCGGCCAACUGACCCCGUAACUUCGGGAGAAGGGGUGCCUGCUGGCGUUAGCCACUUCGCGUGGCGAGGCGUCGGCGGGUCGCAGUGAAAUGGGGGUUGCGACUGUUUACCAAAAACACAGGACUCUGCGAACUCGUAAGAGGACGUAUAGGGUCUGACGCCUGCCCGGUGCCGGAAGGUUAAGGGGAGUUGUCAGCGCAAGCGAAGCAGCGAACCGAAGCCCCGGUAAACGGCGGCCGUAACUAUAACGGUCCUAAGGUAGCGAAAUUCCUUGUCGGGUAAGUUCCGACCUGCACGAAUGGCGUAACGACUUCCCCAGCCGGGCUCCUGGGUUCGGCUGAGCCAGCCUUGAAAUACCACCCUGAACGAUCUGGGAUUCUAACCCAGGCCCCUCACAGGGUCGGGGACACUGCCUGGUGGGCAGUUUGACUGGGGCGGUCGCCUCCUAAAAUGUAACGGAGGCGCACGAAGGUCACCUCAGGCUGUUUGGAAACCAGCCGUAGAGUGCAAAGGCAGAAGGUGGCUUGACUGUGAGAUCGACAGAUCGAACAGGUGCGAAAGCAGGCCUUAGUGAUCCGGUGGUCCCGUAUGGAAGGGCCAUCGCUCAUCGGAUAAAGAGGUACUCUGGGGAUAACAGGCUGAUCACGCCUGAGAGUCCACAUCGGCGGCGUGGUUUGGCACCUCGAUGUCGGCCCAUCGCAUCCUGGGGCUGGAGCAGGUCCCAAGGGUUCGGCUGUUCGCCGAUUAAAGCGGUACGCGAGCUGGGUUCAGAACGUCGUGAGACAGUUCGGUCCCUAUCUGCCGUGGGCGCAGGAGGCUUGAGAGGAUCUAUCCAUAGUACGAGAGGACCUGGAUGGACGGACCUCUGGUGUGCGGGUUGUUCUGCCAAGAGCAUAGCCCGGUAGCCAUGUUCGGUACGGAUAAUCGCUGAAAGCAUCUAAGCGAGAAGCCGACCUCAAGAUUAGGCCUCCCCAUCAGACUCCUCGUAGACUACGAGGUCGAUAGGCUGGGCGUAGCAGCGCGGCAACGCGUGGAGCGGACCAGUACUAAUCAGUCGAUCGGCUUGACCGU